GAUCAUGGCUCAGGAUGAACGCUGGCGGCGUGCUUAACACAUGCAAGUCGAACGAGGUUAAUUAUUACGAUUCCUUCGGGGAUGACGAUUUUAACCGAGUGGCGGACGGGUGAGUAACGCGUGGGCAACCUGCCCCAUACAGGGGGAUAACAGUUGGAAACGACUGACAAUACCGCAUAAGCGCACAGUAUCGCAUGGUACGGUGUGAAAAACUCCGGUGGUAUGGGAUGGGCCCGCGUCUGAUUAGCUAGUUGGUGAGGUAACGGCCCACCAAGGCGACGAUCAGUAGCCGACCUGAGAGGGUGACCGGCCACAUUGGGACUGAGACACGGCCCAAACUCCUACGGGAGGCAGCAGUGGGGAAUAUUGCACAAUGGGGGAAACCCUGAUGCAAGCGACGCCGCGUGAGUGAUGAAGUAUUUCGGUAUGUAAAGCUCUAUCAGCAGGGAAGAAAUUGACGGUACCUGACUAAGAAGCCCCGGCUAACUACGUGCCAGCAGCGGC
rnacentral:rRNA from 1 species